GUAAAAGGGGGCGCAAGCCUGAUCCAGCCAUGCCGCGUGUGUGAAGAAGGCCUUAUGGUUGUAAAGCACUUUAAGCGAGGAGGAGGCUACUUUAGUUAAUACCUAGAGAUAGUGGACGUUACUCGCAGAAUAAGCACCGGCUAACUCUGUGCCAGCAGCCGCGGUAAUACAGAGGGUGCAAGCGUUAAUCGGAUUUACUGGGCGUAAAGCGCGCGUAGGCGGCUAAUUAAGUCAAAUGUGAAAUCCCCGAGCUUAACUUGGGAAUUGCAUUCGAUACUGGUUAGCUAGAGUGUGGGAGAGGAUGGUAGAAUUCCAGGUGUAGCGGUGAAAUGCGUAGAGAUCUGGAGGAAUACCGAUGGCGAAGGCAGCCAUCUGGCCUAACACUGACGCUGAGGUGCGAAAGCAUGGGGAGCAAACAGGAUUAGAUACCCUGGUAGUCCAUGCCGUAAACGAUGUCUACUAGCCGUUGGGGCCUUUGAGGCUUUAGUGGCGCAGCUAACGCGAUAAGUAGACCGCCUGGGGAGUACGGUCGCAAGACUAAAACUCAAAAGAAAUUGACGGA
rnacentral:rRNA from 1 species